GUCUACGGCCAUGCUACCCUGAACAAGCCCAAUCCCAUCUGAUCUUGGAAGCUAAGCAGGAUCGGGCCUGGUUAGUACUUGAAUAGGAGACCACCUAGGAAGACCGGGUGCUGUAGGCG
rnacentral:rRNA from 1 species